CACGUAGGGCGCAAGCGUUGUCCGGAAUUAUUGGGCGUAAAGAGCUCGUAGGUGGUCUGUUGCGUCCGCUGUGAAAACUCGGGGCUUAACCCCGAGCCUGCAGUGGAUACGGGCAGACUAGAGGUAGGUAGGGGAGAAUGGAAUUCCUGGUGUAGCGGUGAAAUGCGCAGAUAUCAGGAGGAACACCGGUGGCGAAGGCGGGUCUCUGGGCAGUAACUGACGCUGAGGAGCGAAAGCGUGGGGAGCGAACAGG
rnacentral:rRNA from 1 species